GACAGAGGGUGCGAGCGUUGUCCGGAAUCACUGGGCGUAAAGGGCGCGUAGGCGGCGCGGGCAGUCAACGGUGAAAGCUUGGGGCUCAACCCCGAGUCGGCCGUCGAUACUCCCGUGCUGGAGCACUGUAGAGGCAGGUGGAAUUCCGGGUGUAGCGGUGGAAUGCGUAGAGAUCCGGAAGAACACCGGUGGCGAAGGCGGCCUGCUGGGCAGUAGCUGACGCUGAUGCGCGACAGCGUGGGGAGCAAACAGG
rnacentral:rRNA from 1 species